rnacentral:rRNA from 1 species
UACGGAAGGGGCUAGCGUUGCUCGGAAUCACUGGGCGUAAAGGGUGCGUAGGCGGGUCUUUAAGUCAGGGGUGAAAUCCUGGAGCUCAACUCCAGAACUGCCUUUGAUACUGAAGAUCUUGAGUUCGGGAGAGGUGAGUGGAACUGCGAGUGUAGAGGUGAAAUUCGUAGAUAUUCGCAAGAACACCAGUGGCGAAGGCGGCUCACUGGCCCGAUACUGACGCUGAGGCACGAAAGCGUGGGAGCAAACAGG